UGUGGCCACCACUGGCAUGGAAAUUUAUAGUAAGAGUCUACUUGAAGUGGGGAGGAAGAAGACUAGCAAGAAGAGGAACACAAUAAGAAGAAGAUGGAAAAUGUAUAGCUAAAAGCAUGACCUUAAUUAUAUGUAUAAAUCAGAUAAUAAAAUAAAUAAACUAGCCCUUGAAGUAUUAUAGUAAUUUUUAGAAAAGUUCAAAUGUUGGAUUUAUGGUGUCGCAAAUGCCAAAGAUAGAUGAAUAUAAAUGUUAAUAGACUAAGCUCAGAUAUGAAAGAAAGAUAUGUUGGCCCAGCUCCUCUCAUGCACACAAGACACCCACAUAUUGUCCUUAUCAUUGAAUGGAAGCACACCCACGAAAUGGAAGAAACUAGUACAGAACUAGCUAACUAGUAUAGAAGGAGAAACUGAUAGUUUUAGUUGCACGUCAGAAAUUGAUGAUGGGGAACACAACAUAUAAAGAUGAAUAGCCUUAUCUAUGAGGCUAGAGUUUUUGGUUGAGUUCGGCCUAAUACCUUUGCAUGUUGUGACCUUUGGUGAAUCUAACCCUGAGAGACACCGAGUUGUGGGUAUACGUAACACCCAAAAAUUUGCUCCUUUUGAAAUAGUGCUAAAAUGAUUUAAUUAUGUAUUUUUGUGCUCAUGAAAACACAGGAAAAUAUUUUUUUCAUCGAAUUAAAAUUUAUCAUAGGGUAUAACAAUAUUGUUGUGCAUACAUGCUGGUACAUAUGUUAUAUGUGAUGUUUGUUUGUUGCGAAUCCUUUGUAUGUGGAGAGUGAGCAAAGUCUUUAAAAUGUGUUUAGUCGGUCGAUCUUCCUUAUCCGACAUGUCUUUUAUAUUCUUCUAUAAUCAAAUUCCUUGUUUCUUGUAACACCCAAAAUUUGAUUUCCAAUUAAUAGGAUUUAAUUUGAUUUAAUUAAGUAUAUUUUUUUGAGCAUUUAAAUUUAGCACUUAAAUAAUUUUUGUGGAAAAUAAAAUUUAUCAUAAAAUUAGCAACCUUGAUUAUGCAUUCAUGCUGGAGCAUAUUUAAUUUUGGGCUGUUGACUUUUGAUUAGAAAUUAAUUGCUUUCAAAAUUCUUUUUGGACAAUGUUUUGAAAAAGAAAACAAAAAAGAAAAAAAAUAAAAUAAGACACAGCCCUGACCUCGGCAUGGGCUAGUGGCCGAGGCCCAGCCUGGCUUUCUUUUCCCCACCGCAGCUCAGCAAGCCGGCCCAAGCUGCGGCCCAAGCCGAACAGGCCGCGCACGCCGCACCUCUUCCUCCUUCUGCUGGCUGACAGCCGGGCCCGCUCCUUUUUUUCCGCUGACAGCCCGACCCCACAGCGCAGCACCCUCUUUCUUCCUCGUUCGUAACCGAGAUGGAUUCCUUCCUUCCACGCCGUAUCCAAUCCCUGGGAAAUCGCGAUAUCCUUGCCAAAUCGCUUACCCGAGACCCUAUAAAGCUUCUAAGACUCCACCGUGACCCUCCUUUGCUGUUUCUUUGCGCCCCG
rnacentral:lncRNA from 1 species